rnacentral:lncRNA from 1 species
GCUGCCAUGUACUAGGCCACGUGGCAAGGGCCUGGUUGGGGACCUCCAGGGGUUGAGAGCAUCCUCUGGACAACAUGGAAAAAGAAAAUGAAAAUGGUGACCUCAGCCCUAUAGCUAGAAGGAAUUGAAUCCUGUCAACAACGAUGGCCGCCAUGUAAACGUUCUUUGCUCCUGCUUCGUCUUCUGCCGUGAUUGUGAGGCCUCCCCAGCCAUGUGGAACUGCUCAUCACUCACUGCAGAUGUUACUUUAAGACAUUCUGGAGCAGCGUCAUGUGCAGGAGAAAAUAGUAUCAUCUCAGCCUUCUAUGAAAUCAAGGCAAUAUGGUAAAGCCAAAAAGAUCUCAACUGCUGAAACCAGGAGCACAUUUCAAAGCUAUAUUGUCCAUAGACAUGUGAAAGUAUAUUCCAAACCCAGAACCUGAGCACAGAUUGGGACUGAGAAACACUUGUCUAGAUUGUCAGGCAAUCUGUAACAUCAGCAGUGGAUGGAAAGAAGGAGAAAGAUGAGUUUUAUGGACGCUAACCCAUCUAUAUGGCUUUGGAAAAUAAAGUUGCGUAGUGCCUCCGCCCAUCUCUCUCUUGCUCCUGGUCUCAUCGUGACGGGCCUGGUCCUGCCUCACUUUAUGCCACGACUAAGAGCUCCCUGAGGCCUCUCCAGAAGCAGAUAUCACUAUGCUUCCUACACAGCCUGCAGAACCGAACAAUAAGGAAGUGAGUGCUUUUGUAAUUCCUGAACAACUGUGUCUUACACUUACUAAGGGAUUCAUGGGCAAUAUGACUGAAUAGGAACAGCUCCAGUCUGAAGCUCCCAGUGAGACCAACAUAGAAGGCAAUCUGGGUGUUAUGAAAGAUGUAGACCAACAGAAACACUCAUACCUUUCUGGUGACAAUAAAACUUUGUACAUUUAUUUUGGAAAACCCUAUCUCUUGCCUGCCACCAUGUAAGAUAUGCUUUUACUCUUCCGCCUUCCACCGUGACUGUGAGGCCUCCCCAGCCAUGUGAAACUGCCUUUGAGCUUAUACUGAAUUAUACCACCAGCUUUCCUAGGUCUUGAAGCUUACAGACAGCAGAUCUUGGGACUUCUCAGGCACCAUAAUCAAUCAUGGAUAAAUGAUCCAAUGAUUCGGAACUUGAAAAGUGGUAGCUUUAUGAAUUCUCCUUAAGAAGAAACCUGUGCCCUGAUCUUGCCUACUCACCCAAAGGCACUGUGAGGUAGCAUCAAAGGAACAGCUAGUAAGAGACACAGAGCCAGAAAUCAGGGAAGUAAAAUACACUUGACAUCUACGUUCGGAAAGAAAUUUUAGGAGGCAGAAGCAAAUGGAUCAGAAGCUGCUUAUAUUUUUGCAAGAUUACCAAAGAAACCAUUGGUGGAGAAAGUUCUGUGACCAACUUGUCUGAGUCUAGUAAGAUUGAACGCUCACACACAAGUUUCAUGAAGUGGGUUUGAUACUUACAGAUAAGCAGCAAGGACCAACAGAAGCUGAUGAUCUAUGGUGAACUUUUUCCCAAGGCUCCGGAAAGCUGCCUAAAGUAGAUGGAGUCUUCUCUGUGUGUGCCCCACUGGUCCUGCAGUUGAAGGAUCCGGUAAAGCAGCCUGCCCUUGGUUUUAUACUCCAGAGGAACGUGAUUCGCUGGACUAAAGCAUUGAAGUGCAUCCUGUUUCCGGGGGGCACUGGAACAGAGCCUGGUCUGUUCUAGCCAGUCCCUUUCUAUCUCAGGAUAACAUUCUACAGUUAUUCUUGAGAACUAUAAUCAAAUAAGCAGGGAGAACUGGGGGCUCAUUGUGGAACCCUCAAGGAGCAUGGGGUCGUCUUCAUCCCUCAGUUUAUAAAUGGCCAAGGAGAGUAAUGCAACAAAAACUUCUCAGAGUUAAAAGCCAGAGUUCCUAAAGAACCGUGGACAAAGGGUUCUGUCUAGUGGGCAGAAUUCAUCCAGCGAAGGUCUCCUAACUACAGAGGGUCACAUCUGGAUCUGAUGGCACCUACAGAACUUGGACUCUGAGCGACAAUCAGUGACCAGGAAAUUUGGAACCCAGGUUUUCCCAACCUACAUCUACAAAAUGGAAUGGGUCUGAUUCGCAAGUUUUCAGAGAAAGAAGCCAACCUUAAUCAGACUGUGAUAUGAUGAGGAAAUAAAACUUGCUGUGCUAAUCA